CAGUCGCCACGGUAAUACGUAGGUGGCAAGCGUUGUCCGGAAUUAUUGGGCGUAAAGGGCUCGCAGGCGGUUUCUUAAGUCUGAUGUGAAAGCCCCCGGCUCAACCGGGGAGGGUCAUUGGAAACUGGGAAACUUGAGUGCAGAAGAGGAGAGUGGAAUUCCACGUGUAGCGGUGAAAUGCGUAGAGAUGUGGAGGAACACCAGAGGCGAAGGCGACUCUCUGGUCUGUAACUGACGCUGAGGAGCGAAAGCGUGGGGAGCGAACAGGAUUAGAUACCCCCGUAGUCCCUGUCUCUUAUAA
rnacentral:rRNA from 1 species